rnacentral:rRNA from 1 species
UUGCACGCUGGCGGCAGGCCUCACCCAUGCCAGUCGAGCGGAUGAAGGGAGCUUGCUCCUGGAUUCAGCGGCGGACGGGUGAGUAAUGCCUAGGAAUCUGCCUGGUAGUGGGGGAUAACGUCCGGAAACGGGCGCUAAUACCGCAUACGUCCUGAGGGAGAAAGUGGGGGAUCUUCGGACCUCACGCUAUCAGAUGAGCCUAGGUCGGAUUAGCUAGUUGGUGGGGUAAAGGCCUACCAAGGCGACGAUCCGUAACUGGUCUGAGAGGAUGAUCAGUCACACUGGAACUGAGACACGGUCCAGACUCCUACGGGAGGCAGCAGUGGGGAAUAUUGGACAAUGGGCGAAAGCCUGAUCCAGCCAUGCCGCGUGUGUGAAGAAGGUCUUCGGAUUGUAAAGCACUUUAAGUUGGGAGGAAGGGCAGUAAGUUAAUACCUUGCUGUUUUGACGUUACCAACAGAAUAAGCACCGGCUAACUUCGUG